GCUUGGUCCAAGUGCAGUGGUGUUUACAACUAAUUAAUCACAACCAGUUACAGAUUCCUUUGUUCCUUCUCCACUCCCACUGCUUCCCUGACUUGACCAGUCUAAA
rnacentral:Y_RNA from 1 species